rnacentral:rRNA from 1 species
UACGGAGGAUGCAAGCGUUAUCCGGAUUUAUUGGGUUUAAAGGGUGCGUAGGCGGGACUGUAAGUCAGGGGUGAAAUACUGCAGCUUAACUGUAGCAUUGCCUUUGAAACUGUGGUUCUUGAGUACAGUUGAGGUAGGCGGAAUGUGGUGUGUAGCGGUGAAAUGCAUAGAUAUACCACAGAACUCCGAUUGCGAAGGCAGCUUACUAAGCUGUUACUGACGCUGAGGCACGAAAGCGUGGGGAUCAAACAGGAUUAGA